UACGUAGGUGGCGAGCGUUGUCCGGAUUUACUGGGCGUAAAGAGCGCGCAGGCGGUCGUGCAAGUCGCGUGUGAAAGCCCCCGGCUCGACUGGGGAGGGUCACGCGAUACUGUUCGACUCGAAGGCAGGAGAGGGAAGUGGAAUUCCCGGUGUAGUGGUGAAAUGCGUAGAUAUCUGGAGGAACACCGGUGGCGAAGGCGGCAUCCUGGACCAACACUGACGCUGAGGAGCGAAAGCCAGGGGAGCAAACGGG
rnacentral:rRNA from 1 species